rnacentral:lncRNA from 1 species
UCAAUACAUAGGUGUGCUAAUGCAAAAGGAAAGCUACUAUACUACCACGGUCUCACUGAUCGGGCGCAAUGCCCUUGCCGCGGUCCUCUCUCGGCAGCCCUGUACCUACCACUGGAAAUAGAGUGGGGUGAGAACUAUCUUCCAUAGUUCCCAGUGGGCUCGGCCGCCGACUCUGCCGAUCUCCCCACUAGGUCCAAGUGGGCACAAGUAACAACAGAUAGAUAGAUAGAUAUGUAUCUGAAAACUGUAAAUGCGAUAGUAGGAAAACUAUGCUACUAUGCCCAUAAUCAUGAAUAUGAAUACAUGCAUCAUAUAAUAAAGGUUUGCUACCAUGCUAACAAAUUCGAUCCAUGUUCGAAUAGUAAUGUUCAAUGACAUUGUUAAACCUUUAACCUUCCAUUUACCCAAUCUGUGGCGAGGCCCUAGGGCUCGCCUAUAACUCACCCUUCAAUCCCAAAGUGGGGAGGGAGCUCCAAGUGCACCCAAGCCCGGGACCGUCUGCGAACCUCCAUGUGGUCCGGACCUCCAAGUGGUCCUAGUCACGCGAUACUCCGGAGUACUCGACGACAAUCCCCUCCAUGUGAGGAUUGGAUGGAUAUACC